AUGAACUAAAUCAAAGUGCUACCGUAUAACCCCCAUGACAAGGUAUCAAAGUACCAGCACAUAAUCUCCACUAAUAGGAUAUCAAAAUACUAGCAUAUAAUCCUACUGAUAAGAUAUCAAAAUACCAGCACACAAUCUUCACUAGUAGGAUAUCGAAGUACUAGUAUACAACCUCCAUUGCUAGGAUAUUGAAAUAUUAGUAUACAACCCCCACU
rnacentral:lncRNA from 1 species